UACGUAGGGGGCAAGCGUUGUCCGGAAUCAUUGGGCGUAAAGAGCGUGUAGGCGGCUUGGUAAGUCCGCUGUGAAAGUCCAGGGCUCAACCCUGGAAUGCCGGUGGAAACUGUCAAGCUUGAGUCCGGAAGAGGCGAGUGGAAUUCCUGGUGUAGCGGUGAAAUGCGCAGAUAUCAGGAGGAACACCAAUGGCGAAGGCAGCUCGCUGGGACGGUACCGACGCUGAGACGCGAAAGCGUGGGGAGCAAACAGG
rnacentral:rRNA from 1 species